AAGCCCCAGUAAACGGCGGCCGUAACUAUAACGGUCCUAAGGUAGCGAAAUUCCUUGUCGGGUAAGUUCCGACCCGCACGAAAGGCGUAACGAUUUGGGCACUGUCUCAACAACAGACUCGGUGAAAUUGUAAUUCCGGUGAAGAUGCCGGAUACCUGCGACAGGACGGAAAGACCCCAUGGAGCUUUACUGUAGCUUGACAUUGGGUCUUGGUACUACAUGUACAGGAUAGGUGGGAGGCUUUGAAGCCAGGACGCCAGUUUUGGCGGAGCCAUCCUUGGGAUACCACCCUUGUAGUACUGGGACUCUAACCAUAGGCCAUGAAUCUGGUCUUGGGACACUGUCAGGUGGGCAGUUUGACUGGGGCGGUCGCCUCCCAAAAGGUAACGGAGGCGCUCAAAGGUUCUC
rnacentral:rRNA from 1 species